rnacentral:rRNA from 1 species
AGAGUGCGUAAUAGCUCACUGGUCGAGAGGCCCUGCGCCGAAAAUAUCCGGGGCUCAAGUACAGAACCGAAGUCGCGGCAAGCAGCAAUGCUUGGGUAGGGGAGCGUACCAUAUAGGACGAAGGCUGACCGGAAGGACAGCUGGACCGUAUGGCAGAGAGAAUGCCGGUAUGAGUAGCGAAACGGACGGUGAGAAUCCGUCCCACCGAAAGCCUAAGGGAUCCUGAGCAACGCUCGUCGACUCAGGGUAAGUCGGGACCUAAGCCGAGGCAAAAAGCAUAGGCGAUGGACAACAGGCGAACAUUCCUGUACUGCAUGCAACCGUAUGAGGAUGGAGUGACGCAGCAAGGAGCUUGCGCGCGCGAAUGGAAGAGCGCGUCGAACGCGGUAGGCUGUAUGGGAGGCAAAUCCCCCAUACAAAGCUGAGAGCGGAUAGGGAGCCGAUUCCGCAAGGAAGAAGCGAAGGGAAGCGUACUACACUGCCGAGAAAAACUUCUAACGAGGCGACAUGCACCCGUACCAAAACCGACACAGGUAGGCGGGGAGAGAAUCCUGAGGUGCGCGGGAAAACCCUCGUUAAGGAACUCGGCAAAAUGCAUCCGUAACUUCGGGAAAAGGAUGGCCGUAGCUGGUGAAGCUUUUUACAAGUGGAGCUGGAGACGGCGGCAGAAAAGAGGCCCAAGCGACUGUUUACCACAAACACAGGUGCCUGCGAAAGCGCAAGCUGAAGUAUAGGUGCUGACGCCUGCCCGGUGCAGGAAGGUUAAGGAGAGUUGUUAGUCCUUGCGAUGAAGCAGCGAACUGAAGCCCCUGUAAACGGCGGCCGUAACUAUAACGGUCCUAAGGUAGCGAAAUUCCUUGUCGGGUAAGUUCCGACCCGCACGAAAGGCGUAACGAUUUGGGCACUGUCUCAACGAGGGACCCGGUGAAAUUGAAAUACCUGUGAAGAUGCAGGUUACCCGCGACUGGACAGAAAGACCCCAUGGAGCUUUACUGCAGCUUGGCAUUGGUCUUUGGCAUAUGACGUACAGGAUAGCCGGGAGACUGGGAAGAUAGAUCGCUAGAUUUAUCGGAGUCACCGUUGGGAUACCGGCCUUUAUAUGCGAAGGAUCUAACCGGAACAUUAACCGUGUUCGGGACAGUACCAGGCGGGCAGUUUGACUGGGGCGGUCGCCUCCGAAAGAGCAACGGAGGCGUCCAAAGGUUCCCUCAGCGCGGACAGAAAUCGCGCGCAGAGCAUAAAGGCACAAGGGAGCUUGACUGCGAGACUGACGGGUCGAGCAGGUACGAAAGUAGGGCUUAGUGAUCCGGUGGAAAGAGAGUGGAAUUG